rnacentral:tRNA from 1 species
GCCUGGCUGGCUCAGUUGGUGGAGCGUGCGACUCUUGAUCUCAGGAUUGUGGGUUCGAGGUCCACGGUCGGGUG